rnacentral:rRNA from 1 species
UAGAUGAGGUGGUUGAGAGGCCAGAUCUGGAAGAGGAGAAAUGCUUUAAGGUGACUGGAAAUAAAUUUACCGAGUAAUAACA